UAAAUUCUAAGCAUAUGCAUUCAACUCUUGAACUAGCAUGUAGGAAUGUUAACUAAAAUUGCAUCAAAUCAUAAUAUAACAUCAAUCCAUACAAGAUUGGUUAGUGUUUUCAACCCUAACCCCAACAAAGUACUACUCACUCAUAAUUACAUAAACAAACUUCAUAAUCAAAUUAAACAUCAAAAUAGAUCUAGAGUUUAAGAGAGAGAGAGUUGGCUUAGUGGUGUGUUGAUUGAUCCCCAAGCUCACGUCUUGGUGGUACGUGGUGGUGAUGAAGGUGAUUUCCUCUCCUUCUUGCUCAUGUUGUUUGAUGACAAGAGAUGGUGAAGCUUGAUCUAUGCUUUGUGUGAAUAGGUGGAGUGGAUGGAGAAAAUGGUAUAGAUAAGAGAAUGGAGAAAUGGUGUAGUGGUGGUGGUGUUAAUGGAGGUUUGGGUAAGAGAUGGUGGUAGUGAUGGAGGAGAUAGAGUAGAUUGGGGGAGGAAGAGGAAAAAGAUGGGUUUGGAUUUUGGGAGAGGGAGAUGGAGGUUUUGUGGUGGAAAAGAGAGAAAAAGGUAGAGAGUGGUGAAUGGGUGGAUGAUGAAUGUUGUAGUGGAUAGAUGUAUGUUUAUUAUAUAGAAGAAAGAUAAGUGAAAAUGGGGGAAUGAGAAAGUCAAAACAGCCCCCUUCCCUAAUUCAACUGUAAGGGAGAAGGAAGAGUGUGAGAGUGUCCAUGAAUUGCCAAAAAAAAGAUAAAAAUGUAGGGAAAUAAUCGCAUAGGUUAGAGUAGGCAAUGAUGAUGUUUAAAGCAUGGUGAUGUCUAUUAUCCAAAGAGUAAUAGAAUGAAUUUCAUGUUGUUACUCAAUCACCAUUAAUCUCCUUGCUCCUCCUUUAUGGUGACUGGAAAAGACAUGACACCACCAAAAGAGGUGGUGAGCCGUCAUUUGUGCAGUCAAUAGUGGUGGUUCGCCGGAAUCCGAAAAUCUACGUUUUGCUUCACAUUGGACCGUCAUUUUUCCUAGCUCCGAUUCUCCAUGUUAAUGCCAAAAAUGCAUAUUUUCAUCACUCUUGCAAUAUUCCUAGAUAAAUAGAAAAUGAUUUAGUGAAAGAAAAAAUGAACUCAAAAACAAGGCAAAUUCAAUAUUUAGGGGAAUGAAAAUGUGUGUAAAUUAUGGUCUAACACAUACCCAAUGGACUAAUCGAGAUCACAUCACAGGGACCAAUUGCCACUAAUCUUUUCAAAUCUUUCAUGUACUCUCAUUUCGAUGGGAUCAAAUGGUAGCCUUAUCACAAGUAAUUGUUAUCAUGUAACAAUAAUUAAGAGACUGAAGAAAGAAUAAACCCCUCAGAAUUCAGGGCAGGACAGCAUGAAACCUUAGUCAAAAAUGGUUCCUCAACCUCAAGAAAAGAGGGAGCACCAAUAUUUUGACAUGAGUUUUCACGCAUAUCUCGCUCAGAUUCUUACUGGUUUCUUCUUCAUCAUAUUUAAAGGACUAAUCGAGAUCAAAUCACAGGGACCAAUUGCCACUAAUCUUUUCAAAUCUUUCAUGUACCCUCAUAUCUAUGGGAUCAAAUGGCAGCCUUAUCAAGUAAUUGUUACCAUGUAACAAUAAUUAAGGGAUUGAUGAAAGAAGAAACCCUCAGAAUUGGGCAGGACAACAUGAACCUUAGUCAAAAAUAGUUCCUCAACCUCAAGAAAAGAGGGAGCACCAAUAUUUUGACAUGAGAUUUCAGGCAUGUCUCGCUCAGAUUCUUACUGGUUUCUUCUUCAUCAUACCCAAGGGACUAAUCGAGAUCACAUCACACGAACCAGUUGCCACUAAUCUUUUCAAAUCUUUCAUGUACCCUCAUUUUGAUAGGAUCAAAUGGCAGUCUUAUCACAAGUAAUUGUUACCAUGUAACAAUAAUUAAAGGACUGAUGAAAGAAGCAAUUGUUACCAUGAAUGUUGUUUAGCAGUGUUUCUUGUGAUCGGAGAACCCCUCAGAAAAAUCUUAGGGGUUACUUGAAAGAAGAAAGAUAGAACUAAAAGAAGUAACCCCUUAGAAACCAUGAAAGUUAUGCAGGGUUACUUGUGAUCGAAACCGUAAAAAUCUUAGUGAUCAGAACUUCCGUUUUCUUCCCAUGACGGGCGGUCCUCUCCGGCGAGCUACUCUUUCUCCAAUGUUGGCCAUACUAAACCCUAAACGCUCAAAAAUAUAUAGAAGUAUAGCACCAAAAGAAAAAGAAAUAUAUAUUUUUUUUUUGGUCAAGAAAAGAAAAAUAUAUAUAGAGAAGUAGGGAUCAAUAUAUAUACUGUAAUAUCGAUGAGUAAAGACAAUAGAAACUCACAUCAAUUAGGGUUCUCACAUCCUAUUAUAUGAUUCUGUUAGGAUCAGAAUCCAUUUAUAAAAGGAAAACUAGGAAAUCAAAGGAAAUAAACUAAACAACAUUCAUAUCACUUAUCCAUAUCUAAUAAGAGAAGUUUACAGCCUUUAUAUAUCCUACAAAUCUAAAAUAACUACUCUAAUAACUACCCUAUUUGGACCGAAUGGGCCUUGAGUUUACUACAACAAGUCUGGGCUAGGGGUCAUCAUUUGGCCCGCGGGCCUAAAAGCCCGUGGGCAGCCCAUCGUCCGGAAUGGCCAAAGCUUGGCCGACCCAUAGAAAAGCCCAUCUCGGCCCGGCCCUUAGGGCAUAAGGCCGGGCUAGGGCGGAGGGUUCAAAACCUCGGCCCUGCCUGUUACAUGCCCAUCAAAGCCCGCCCGGCCUGACCCUAAAAAGCCCUUUCAAUUGUUUUAUAAAUAUUUUUAUGGAGUUAUUAGUUAAAUAUGUGAACUAAUUAAUGCAUUAAGUCAUAUUUUAUUUUGAUUUUUUAUUACAUUUAGUUUAAUCAUUAACAAAUCUUAACUUUUUUUUUAUAAUUUUUUUUUUAUUUGAUAAAAUUCUAUUAGAUAUAUGUAUAUAAUAGGCCGACCGGCCUGGCCUAUCUAAAAAGUCCGACUCGACCCAUCUAAAAAAGCCGGCCUGACCUGGCCUAUAAGCCUGUAAGGCCUGGACAUGCGGGUUUUGAUAAUUUUUUAAGUUAGUCCCAUCCUGGCUCGGCUCUAAUAAAAAAUAAAAUAAAUAAAUUAAAUAAAAAAAACAUAAUUGAGGCCCGACCCGAGCCCCUAGCCAGGCGGGCGUUUUUUGAUGAUCAGGCUAUGCCCAGUACAUAAAAAGGCUGUGAAAUACAUCACCUACGUACAUAUGUGAAAGAGGAAUACGAGUUAGUAUCCUAACAGAUUCAGUCACGUUCUCUUCAGUGGGAUUGAGUUGGGCAGUUCUAUCUCAAUUACAGGGAUUUUAACGUACCAAUUAUAUUUAAGGAAACAGAGAGAGUGGUUAAAAAGGGAGAAGGCCCAAGUCCAAGACCCUAGCCCAACUAGAUCCCAGCAGCCGCAAGAAUGGCCGAAAACUAAUCGGAAGAAAGUAGAAACUAAAUAUAUAGUAAUAAAUAAAUUUCCUUUCAGCAGAUGUGCCCUUAAUACUGGAGACAAAGAAAUUUACCGGCACUCUUUAUCAUUACACAAUUAACCAACUGAGAUAUAUAGCACAAAACAUGAAAACUACACGGUGGUCGACGGAUCCGAAAUCCCAUCAUGCAUGAACUUCACUAAUAGUUGAAGCUAGACUUGCUUGCUGUAGCACUCUUCUUAGUGUAGACAGACUUGGUGACCUUGAGCUGUGUUUUGUACUCGGUGGUGUAUCCCUGAGUUUUGUCGACAUACUUGUCUAUCGAGGUGUACUUGGCCUCUUGUUUGUAGCCGGACUGCCCACUGCGGUUGUCCACGAACUCUCCUUCCUUGUAACUUUUAGUGAAGUUACUUGAAGCCCCACAGUACUCGUCGUUGUACGAUGACUUCACCUGGCUUUGCAUUUCGUCGGCGUUGAUGUUUCUCGCCGGAGCAACAGUUAUGAAGCCGCAAUAAGCCUUUUUCGUCAUUCUGUAACUAUAUGAAGACGUGGGUUGUGAUCAUAUGCAAAGAGGGUCUUGUCUUUUAUAUGGUAACAAGUCGGAACAUGGAUAUUAACUAUGAUUUAUGAAGAUGUGGGAAUCAAGAACGUAUAUUGUGAGGAGAGGAGGGGUCUUUUAUCUGUUUGUUUUGAGAACAAAGGUGUAAAUGUCAUUAUCGGUUAUGGUGAAAGAGACCAUCCAACUUUCCCAGUUCUUCAGGUGAGAAAGGAGGGGAAGUUGUUUAACCAAUACUAAUACUAAUGCAUGUCAUACAAGUGUUGUUUUAAGGUUUUACAGUGCAAUGUUUUUUCGUAUACCUAUUUUCAGUUUGUCCUUUAAUGGACUCCUAAAUCUCAAGAAUAAUAAGUACCAUUUAUAGUGCAAACCUAAAGGCUAAAGCUAUGAUUUCUUUAAUUUUUUGAAAUCCUGAAAAAAGUGAAUUAUCAUACUGAACAUAUAUAAGUUCAAUUGUCUGAUAGGAAUUUGCUGCCAGCAGAUAAAGGUAGCGAUCUUUGAAUUGAAACGGCCGGCAUAAAUGCAAAUAUGAUGAUUUAGCAGCUAAUAAGAAUAUAGAGAAACUAUGGUUCGUGCAUGCAGCAACAAAUGAGUUCAAAAACCAAAGCAUGUCUCGACUUUAAUUUUGGUGCUGGCUUUUGCUGGGUCUGUUUUAUCAUUGCUGGGUAUAACCAUUACAAAACAAGGAUGGGUUUGGAAAAUACGUAUAAUCUUUUACGCCUUAGGUGUAUUUAGAUAUUUGUGGGUAUUUAGAAGAACGAAAAGAGAUCGAUGCUGUAGAGCAAGACUAGUUGUAUAACAUUAAGAAAACAUUACUAAGAAAAAAAGGAUUACACAUAGUAAACAAAAGCACGUACGUAACAUAAAUAGAUAUAGAGCAGUGGAUACCAUAGAUCUACUACAGUCUAUUCCCAGGACUCUAACCCAAAGAGACUUCCGUUAAUUCCUUCCCCUACAUCAUUGGAGAUACACUAUUAAUUAACCAUGCCCGCAAUUUGGACAACAGCAUCGGCAGCUGCAACAACAGGUGAAAGAAGAGGUAUGAGCGUUCCGACUCCGAGCACUGGAAGAAUAACAGCAGCUACUGAUGCAGCAGCUGAAAUCCAACGGAAAACCGAAACAAAAGCCCGAAACCACGACAUUGUGACUCAAGGACGACUUCAACUUUACACUCUAGAUUAGUAGACUGAUAGUGAGUCUGAAACUGUAGGAAAGGCUGUUGAAUGUAGGAGGUUUGCGCACUAUAUUUAUAGCAGGUAAUUUAGAUGGGAACCUGUGCAGCUGAGCUCUAUCGGUCUCUUCGUUUAGUGUACCUCUAAUGAACACAUUUAAUUACUUCGAUUCUUUAAAGAUUAACGGCAUGCGCGCGCAUGCGUCUUCAUGCACUGUGUUUUGGAAAUAUGAGACUUUCAUGACAUAAUUACUGCUUCUAGUUUAUUGUGAACGUCAUAAUAUUAUAUUUGUUGCCUUACCCACAGUUUUAUUUCCCAAUUUCCUCUCUUGUUUUUCCAAUUCGCCGGUGAAGAUCAAUUUGGAUUAUUUUCAGAUUUAACAAGAUUGAUUGAUAUCCCUGACGAUGUUUCUAGUUUUCUUUUCCUUUCUCUUACUGGGUUUGUUAUUACUAGCUGAUUUUUAUCGCUGAAAUAGGUUAAUCUCUACACCUCUGCAAGACUGCAACAAACCCAGCAGCACCCUGAUAAGAAUUUCUCUAUUGGGUCUCCUUCUACACCCUGAUGACAACUUUCAACAUUUAAUUUGGUUUUGAUUGAUUUCAAUCCAAAACUUGCUGCGGAUUUCAAUCCCAAUUUUUGUUCGCCUCUUUUGGUCUCAUCAGAGGACGGAGGAGGAAGUUGAUUUCGGUGGGAGAAAAUUUUUUUUCGAUGAAGAAGCCAGUUCUGGGAUUGAUUCACGAGAAAUAAAGAGAAAAUAAAGAAAAAUACUUUUUCAAAAUUAAAAAUAAGAUUAGAGUUAACAGAGUUAUUGUGGUGUUAGGCUAGCGAUGAGAUGUCAAAUUUUAGUUGGUGGCACAGGGUUUUUGGGCAGAGGUGAUGUGCUUCCCCUUAAGAACUAAUUGGAAUAAAUCUUAGCAUCUUACGAGUAGUUAAGACUCAAGAGGCCAACAAAAGGCCAUUUUGCAUUUCUUCUGGGGCUUCUUCUGAAUUUACACCCUGCUCAUAUCCUAUAGAAUGUUCAUUUUGUAACAUUUCACAGUUGUUCACAUCAUCAUAAGUAGUAGUAGUAGUAGUAGUAGUAGUAGUUUAACCUGCUUCAAAUGAUGUUAAUAUAUUAUGCUUCAUUGAUUAAUGAUGUAAUCCAACUUCUAAGAGGUGAUUCUGCAUGCUGAGGUCCUCACUAGACUCGACAGCAAAAUUUGACAGCAAACCUGCAAAAUCAACCAAACCCCAUCAAAAUGUAGUCACUACGCAGAUAGGAAGUUACAUAAAUGUAAGAAUCACUGUGCCAUUACAGAAUCAAACAACCGGGAAACCCUUACCCCCCCCCCCCCCCCCCUUUUCCUAGUCUAGAAAAGCUCAGGUUUAUCUUCCUUUUGUCUGUACAUAAGUUGUGGCUCGUCUUAAAGAUAUUGAAAUGAUCCUCUCAGUAAUGGAGGUAAUCUAGAGCAUGACUCAUAUAUGAAGACCUUAAGGUUACAAUGUCAGGCCAGUUUAUCAUACUAUACCACAGUAAUUGAAAUGCCAACUCCAUGUCUCCCAAAGGAUACAAGGUUUAACACGCAUUGUGCAAUAAAAGAAGAAUAAUGACACCAGGAAAACCCAGCGCACAACUGCACAACUGAAGUUCCAACAUACCAUUCUAUAUUAGUCUAAUAUCUAGGAGAGCUAACUCACUCAAACUUCCUUUCAAAGAGCAGGACCUCUGAUACCAAAUUGUAUUACUAGUUUACCUUAUACGAGUUCUUCCUAAAUUAUCAAGCUAAGUGGCCCGGAGAAAAGUUUUAUCCAUUUUUGAGAUAUUAAUAUACCCAUAUGAUCAAAACCUUAAGUGUGAGUACUGAAAACCCAAGGCCAUCGCCAUGUCUCCAAUAGUAUCCAGCUUUAUCAUACAUCAGAUCUUGCACUGUUCAUUGUUAGAAUGAAUAUCUUUUUCAUGUCUGAAAUUAUAGAAGAAUCAUCUCACCAGUAAAACCUAGCAAGCACAGUUGAAGUUCGUUUAUACCAUUCUAUAUUAAUCUAAUAUCCAGUAGAACUAACAAAGAAACUCAAAUGUCACAAAGAACAGUAUAUGUGCUCUAGGAAGUUGCAUUCACUAGUUUACCUAAUUCGAGUUCUUCCUAAAUGACUAAGUCAAGUGUCGCAGGAAAAAAGUUUUAUUCUUAAAUAAAACCGGUAAUUACAACACCCACAUUGAUUGUAGUUAUGGCUGGAGUUCAGAAAUUUAGUGUAUUCCUGCUCAAGCGGCAGAUGGGCAAUGCAAGUUGAAUGUGAUAUGUUCACUGCUCUGUGCAUUUCAGCUUAUGUUAUUGUUGCCCAGCAUAAAGAUCUCACCUAAUUCAAACCUUACAAGCAGAUACCUCAUCUAAUUUCUCCAACAAAAGAUUUGAAUGCCAUAAUAUCAACUAAAGAACAAUGCAGCUCCGGAUCUACUUCAAGCAUACUUAUAUUCAGCUAACACUACAACUACUCGAUGCAAGAAUAGAAAUGCCGAAAAAUACAACCAUAUUAUCAAUGUAGUGUACCUGAAGCUUGAAGCUCAUCUCAAGACAGGCUUUUGCAGAAGAGCAGUCAAGUAAACCUCCCCAUUCUUCUCAUUCUUACUCGCCGUCGCCCACUUCACUCUCCGGUACCCCAACUUCCCAAUCAACGGCCCGAAAACCUUCUCAAGAUCCACCCCCUUGCUAAAGAAAUGAUCCAACCACAAGUACCCUCCUACCCUCAACACCCUAUCCGCAUCGUACAACAAAAACUCCAACGCCGUCACCGGAAUCCACCUGUUCACCGCGUGCCCGCACCGCACCAGAUCCAACACCCCGUCAAACACGGGGAACCGCUGCUGCAGCGGCACGUGCAGCGGCACCAGCCCCCUCAGCGCCACCGCCUCGUUAUUCGGACUGCCGAAAUUCAUGGUGGUGGUGACAACUGUCACAUUGUAGAGCUUCAUCCUGGCGGCGAAGGUCCCGGUGCCGCCGCCGACGUCCAGCCCGAGGCGGAGGACGGCGCCGGCGGCCUUGGCGAUCUGGAAGAACUGCGGGAUGGGGAGGUCCAGCUCGGACUUGUAGGUCAUGAAGUUGGAGAGCUCGUGGCUGAAGUCGAAGCCGGAGCUGAGGCCACGGCGGUUGAGGCAGCUGAAGCUUUUGCAGGCGUACUUGUCCCAUAUCACAUUCUGAUCCGGGAGAGAGGGAGGGAAAGCGUCGUGGGAGAGCGAUGACGUGGGCUUCUGCGGCGUUCUGGAGAAGCAUCUCCGGCGGGGGAGGGGGUGGCAGCCGCGGAGGAUGAGGCUCUCGGCGACGUCGUCGGCGUCGGCGGGGCAGAGGGAGAAGGGAGUGUAGGUCAUGUACUUGUUGAGGAGGUCGGGGUGGUUGUGGCAGGAGGAGGCGAUCGGGGAGAGGCGGGAGUAGAGGAGGAGGUCGGCGGAGGAGGCGGCGGCGGCGCGUGGGGGAGGAGGGUGGUGGCGCGUGAGGUGGUUGAUGGUGG
rnacentral:lncRNA from 1 species